rnacentral:rRNA from 1 species
UUUUGGACAAUGGGGGAAACCCUGAUCCAGCCAUUCCGCGUGUGCGAUGAAGGCCUUCGGGUUGUAAAGCACUUUUGGCAGGAAAGAAAUCGCACAAAUUAAUACUUUGUGUGGAUGACGGUACCUGCAGAAUAAGCACCGGCUAACUACGUGCCAGCAGCCGCGGUAAUACGUAGGGUGCAAGCGUUAAUCGGAAUUACUGGGCGUAAAGCGUGCGCAGGCGGUUCGGAAAGAGAGGUGUGAAAUCCCAGGGCUUAACCUUGGAACUGCACUUUUAACUCCCGAGCUAGAGUAUGUCAGAGGGGGGUGGAAUUCCGCGUGUAGCAGUGAAAUGCGUAGAUAUGCGGAGGAACACCGAUGGCGAAGGCAGCCCCCUGGGAUAAUACUGACGCUCAUGCACGAAG